UACGUAGGGUGCGAGCGUUAAUCGGAAUUACUGGGCGUAAAGUGUGCGCAGGCGGCCGCGCAAGUCGAGUGUGAAAGCCCCGGGCUUAACUUGGGGAAUUGCGCUCGAAACUACGUGGCUGGAGUGUGGCAGAGGAAGGUGGAAUUCCACGUGUAGCGGUGAAAUGCGUAGAGAUGUGGAGGAACACCAAUGGCGAAGGCAGCCUUCUGGGCCAACACUGACGCUCGAUGCACGAAAGCGUGGGGAGCAAACAGG
rnacentral:rRNA from 1 species